CAAAAUUCAAGAAACUCCAGGGAUCUGUAAAUGCUGAGGAGUUUAUUUCCACACCACAUGGUCUCAAGAGACUCUUAAAACAAGACCAGUUACAGGUUAUCUGAAGAAUCUGAGGGCAUGCUGUGAACUCCAUCAGUCAAAGAUGUUCGGCUGACGGGGUCCAGAAGAAGAGCCUUUUCUGCCAUAUUUCCUCUCCUUUGAAACAUCGUAGCCUCUAAGGUUUCUUGCUCUUCUUGUCGAAGUUUCACCUCCUGCUCUAGCUGAGUCUGAAGUUCCUGUAUCGAUACAUUCUGUACAAGUAAAACAUGGCAGUCCCUGAGCUGAUAAGCA